ACACACAUGCAAAAGCAGGAAGCUGCCCUUGUUUGUAGGGGCUGCGCUCUUGAAAGUUUUCUUGGACUUUCCGAGCUGAGUUUCGCUGCGCCACAGAGGGCACUGGGAGCAGCAGCUAAGUGCUUUGGCGGCAGGAGACGCUAACGCGAUGGGACAGUUGCAGCGAGGCGCGAGGAGGAGGAGUGCACUACGAGGUGGCUUCUGGGACAAUGGGGCCGCUUUUUCUCAAAUAAAACAUGAAGCUCAUCAGGGGCCCUGGACUGAAGCGGCUGAACAUGCAAAGAAAGUAUUUUUUCAGCUUCGGCAGAAGUAAUGAAGCUGAAGAAUCGACAGUGUGGAAGAGGGGGGUGGUGCGAUCGGCGCUCCUUGGAGGGCUGCUAAAAGCCAAUCUUCAUCUCACCUUGCUGCUCCUCUCUCUCUCAGGAUGGGCAGUAUCAUCCAUCUGAAUCAGUUUCAGACGGGUAUGGAAACCUCACUUUCCAAUCAGAAUUCACUAUCAAAUGGUUAAGGCCAGUCAGGACAUACAUCUGUCUGUGUGAAAACUAAUUUACAAUACAUUCCUUUUUUUGUUUGUGUCUUAAACUCAUUUUGAGGAUAUUUCAUGAAAUAAAAACAAUCUGUGUUGUGAAGCAUUGCAAUGUAACAUUAAACCAAUGAUAACUACAGGGCUGUCUGCAGUAAGUACAUUUAACAUUAUAGCCUGCAUGGCAAUCUUAGCCUACUACAGCAAAGGCUCAGCUCUUUAGACAUGCUACGUUUUUGGAGAGCUAAUACCUAAAACCUAGCUCACAAAAAUUAUAUGGGGUUAUAAAGGUUUUAAGCAAACUCUUCAUGUAUGCAUUUCUGAGUCUGUUCAUGGUUGUUUCAUCCCAAUCUGUGACACAUAUUCAUUGAAUGCCACAAACAGAGCCAUUGUUCACUGACACAGAUUUGACUGCAAGCAAACAUCAUGCAUCGCUGUUGUUGGACUUGUGAAGGACACAUGAAUACAACAGAAACACCGGAGAGGAAACGCUAUGAAUACAUAGAUAGUUUCCACCUUCGUCCUCUGUACUUUAUCUUCUUAGAUCACACAAUGAGUUCUCCAACUCAUUCCAUUCCUCUGGGAAGUGAUACCCUGACAAAACAAAGUUGAUGUAAUGCAUCUCGCAACCAUAAAAUCAAGAAUUUACUGCAGUUUGGCUUCUGCUCAAUCUCUCGACUCGCUGUGACAUCUGUACACCUGUGUGCUUCGGCUAUUGCCUGCUCUCGUUCUGUUCAAGCAGCGAGCCCUAAUCUCCUGGCCUCGCUAGAAGUUCCGAUAAACACUUCAGUGACAGUCUAAUCCAUAUAUGGUCGCUGUCUCUCGCAGGCCUCUCUGGCCUGGACCUCAUGUAAUGCCUGAGUGUAUGGACAUGCUUUCAGCUAUUUAGUUUGGUAACCUCCCAUUUUCCAUGAUGUGGCUGCAGUCUAAUUAACUACGCAGAGGAAUGCCUUUCUCAUGAUUUACUGGAUGAGAGGGCCUUUGUUUUGUGCCGGACUAUAAAUGGUCUAUAUUUGCAGAAAACAGUUAUGAUUUGUGCCCAAAUCAAUAGCUAAACUUGAGAAUUGCCCCAGAUUUAUUCAUAAAUGAUGCCACAUUUGAAUAGAGAUUUCUAGGUAAGUAAUCUCUAAUAUAAAUAAUAACACAUUUAAAUAUAGAUGAACACACUGUUCUAUGUCUAGGUUUGUUACUGCAUAUCAAACCAAAUUCAUUG
ensembl:lncRNA